rnacentral:rRNA from 1 species
AUUGAACGCUGGCGGCAGGCUUAACACAUGCAAGUCGAGCGAGCGGCGGACGGGUGAGUAAUGUCUGGGAAACUGCCUGAUGGAGGGGGAUAACUACUGGAAACGGUAGCUAAUACCGCAUACCAUCAGAUGUGCCCAGAUGGGAUUAGCUAGUAGGUGGGGUAAUGGCUCACCUAGGAGACGAUCCCUAGCUGGUCUGAGAGGAUGACCACCCACACCGGAACUUAGACACGGUCCAGACUCCUACGGCAGGCAGCAGUGUGGAUUGUUGCACAAUGGGCGCAAGCCUGAUGCAGCCAUGCCGCGUGUGUGAAGCAGGCCUUCGGGUUGUAAAGCACUUUCAGCGAGUCGGCGUUACUCGCAGAAGAAGCACCGGCUAACUCCGUGCCAGCAGCCGCGGUAAUUC